UUACACCGACUUAGAAGGACCGAGAAGGGUAUAGAGCUCUCUAGGUGGAGCUCUCGAGGAGAUAUAGAGAGAAGGUCACCAACUCUCCUCCUUCGGAAGACUCCCGGGACUUUCUUGGGCUUGUAUUAGUGGAGGGGAGGGGAGGAGAGAGAGGAAGAGCUCUCUAAUAGUGAAAGGGCACAGAUACGUCUCUCUUUCUCAUUCAAUCAACUCUCUCACUUUCACUCUCCCUCUCUCUGUCGGAUUACGGUGAUAACAUCGAUCGUGUGAAGAAUGAAAGGGAAGAGAUCCGGUCACUUGCUGUGGGAUAUCGAACUGAAAAGGAAGAUGAUUUCUUGAUCGGGCCUCUGACGAUGAGGUAUCACUCAACAAUUUGAUGUUUAUGUAGCGAUUGAUUUCUUCGGAGGAACACCCAGGUAAUGACUCAAUGGUAAGAGUGAAUCCAAUUUUAUUUUUAUCAAAGUGCAGCAAAAGGAAUGAAAUGGUAUAGAAUCAAUUACCAUACAUGCUUGUAGAUUCAGAUUAGCUCUCUAAUACCCACAUUAGGUUCGGUAUAAUCUGAGGUCAGGGUGUUACAAAUGGUAUCAGAGCGGGGAUAUGAUCACUGGGUUAAGGAAACAAAUAUAAUUGUUGUAUAGAUUUCAUGAUUUACAAAUUUGAUAAUGAUCGGUGUGAUGAUUUUCGAUCAAGGUAGUGUUUGAGAUGAUGAUGAUCUCUUCUGGUUUGGUUAAGUUUUGUGACUAUUGUCGAUUUCUGCUUCUCUUUUUGAUGCCUUGGGGUAGUCUGCGUUUUCCUGUGUCUUUUGCUAAUCUAAUCUAUAUAUCUAUAUCGGUGAGAUAAGAAUUUUUUCUUUACUAUGACUAUCUCUUGAGAAGGUUUAUCAUCUUGAAUCUGUAAAAUGGAGUUCUAUAUUGUUAUCGAGACAAGUAACUUACUUAUUUUGGCUUCAGUCUAUAAUUUGGUUGUUCUUAGAAUUAUAGAUGGAUGAAGAAAUAGUUUGAUCUCAUUCAGUCUUUAUAUAAAUAUCUCUGUGUAUAAUUACUUGUGUGUGGUACAUAUAAUGAUUGGUAUUGGAUGAGAAGGUGACUGAUUAAAAGGAAGGUGCUCUUAGGCAUGAUUACGGAGGCAUACUGGCAUAGUUUAAUUUUUAUUUGGAGAAGCCGUUUUAGAGUUCUUCAUAUCAGUUCUUUGAUCAUUACUUUCUGUCCAUAUAUUUGUGUUUGGGAUUGUCUUCACCCAAUCGGCAAGUGUAACUACUCUUAUUUUCCUUUGAAGCAACACCAAUCUUUUAGCGUGUUUGUAAUUAAAGAAUCCCCACAUGAUUAAAAGGUUUCAAUCAUGAUUGGGGUAUUAUUUAGUAUGUCUCAUGAACGGCCCUAAUUUUGGAUAUUCUUUGUUACCUGUUUACCGAUUGUAUAGUUAUUUUUAUGGAACUACAUGGUGGUAGUGAAAGGUAGUAGGUAAUGGCAAUGGUGAUACUGAAUCCUGUUUGUCAUUUGGGAGUUGGCCUUGAUAGUUCUUCAAAGCUACCUGUUUCCUCAUUGUUAUAUAUAGGACACUUCUGUUAUUAGUUUUUGUUCUAUGUUGCUUAUUAGAUAUAGUUCAUGAUUCAGUAAGAUCUAUGAGGGUUUUUGUCUUUGUUUAAUGGAGAUUUGGUUCUUCUUAGUUAUCUGAAAUUGAUAUACAAAUCACUGUUUUGCAAUGUAAUUGAUUUCAUAGUUUUGUGUAUAGCUUUCAUACAAAACAAGCAAAGAUGACCCAUUAUGAAAAAGGGGGAAGGAAACCAAAAUCGUUUAACACCUCCAGUUUGGUUGUUCUUGGCUUUACAAUGACGGCUUCCAUGUUUUGGGGUUUUAGUGAUCAGUCAAAUAAGGCGCUGGAAAGCAACCUGGUAAGUUUGCUCCUCCAAAAUUGAAUUCAGUAUGUUUCUGCAUAAUUUAUAUGACACGACCCACCCCAAAUUUCACCAUGAAACCCGGAGUAAGUCGUGCGGGGACCACCUCCAAAGAAAAUUUACCGAAAAGAUUGGUAAAACCUCCCUUAAAAAUGGACAACCCUAACUCGAAAAUUCCAGAUUUACACUCUUACUACAACACGUCUAAACUUCACAUAAAUAUCCAGCUAAUAAAAGCAAACAUUAUCCUUCAGAAAUUCUAAACAUCAAAUCAUCAGGCCGAGCACACCACGAAAUAAUAAACAAUAAUCCAAAGUAUCUAGAGCUACUAGACUGUAGCGGAAGCAAGAAAACACGAGUAGGUUAAACAGGUAGGUUGAACAGGUAACCUACUGAUGAAAACUGGUAGAAAUGCGGGUGACUAUGUCUCAUCUCCUACUAGAUCCCACCCGAACUCUGCAGACUGGGCAUUUUUAAAAUGAAGGGCCUAGGGGAAAAAACAUUUAAUAACGUUAGAGUGAGUGGACAAAAAUAAAUUAAUAAAUAAAAUAUUUAUGUUUCCCCAAAUCAAUUUAUAAGGAAAAAUCGAAUGCAUGCCGCAAGCGAUAAAACUUUUAUCUCAUAAAAUAUGGAGCCUUUCAGACUCUAUAAUAUAUGUAUGUAUUUACACACGUCCAUACUCCUUAUAUAAAUUCAUGGGUCUAUAUAGGGCUACUACACUCGCGUCCAACGCUCACGUCACGUCUUAAUGCGGUGCUACAUUACGCCAUUAAGGUGGAUAGACGGGUGUAUAAAUAUGUGUUCAUACCCCCUAUGUGAAUUAAACACUCAUAUAAGGCUACUACGCUCACGUCCAACGCUUACGUCACACCAUAAUGCGGCUAUAUACUACGCCAUUAAGGUGGACAGACACAUAUGGUUAGUUAGCAUUUAUAUACAUACACUCUCAUAAAUACAUAUUUAUAUCCACCGAAAAUCCCAUUUUUUGUAACUCUCCAAGAUAAAUAAAAAUCGUCAAAUUAAAAUGACGUCAAAAUAUUCCGCAACAUUUAUUGUUCAACCAUGAACUAUAGCAUGCAUUUAUUUAAAAUAAAGGUCCACUCACAAAUUUGGCCUAAGCCUGAUGUCGAUCUGGGGCCUCGUCUGUUCGAGCCUCCUCACUUCCUGUUCCAAAUAUAAUAUUAAUUUCCCACUAAAAAUCCAAUAAUUAAACAAAAUGAACAAAAUUAAACGUGAGCCUCCCACACACUCAUCAUUGCCUAACUUCGCCAUUCUUAACUCAAUAUGGCUCAAACUUCAUCGAACAUACCGGCAGCCGUAAAUACAACCUCCCCCAAAAUACGACUUGGAUUCUACAUUAUUUAACCGUCAAAAUACUAAACUUCGGAAAAUCACAAACCUAUUAAAAAAUUCCAUAAUUCAUUUCAAUAAACUCCUCUUAAUAUUCCACAUUUAAAACCCUAAAAAUCUCCCAAACAGCGGCGGCGGCUCCACCGGCCGAUUUCGGCAACCUGCAAUGCCUAUGAAAUUUUGACAAAAUAAUCCUCUCAUCAUGCUGUACAACUUUCCUAACUAGCACAAACCCAAAAUCCAAGCCUAGCUAUGCCAAUCGAGCAAAAACAUCAAAAUCACCCUAGAACUUCCACAUCAAAUUUCUCCUUACCUGAAGCGAACCGGAGUGAGUCCUUUUAGGGCAAAGCAGCUGGGUUGGAGACUUACAAAACCGUACCAAGCUUGCCCGGACUAGUGGCCGGAGGAGUGAGUUCCGGCGAGUGAAGCAACACGGCAGUCGCACCUUUCGGGGGAGAGCGCUCCUUCACAGCGGCGCUAGGGCGGCUAUCACCGGCCUAGAAUGGAAGCUGGGUCGGAGGGCAACCGAACGGGACCGGUGUGGCAGUCCCAGGCGGCCGGACGGCGGCGGACGAGCGGCCAGAAUGUUGGGCAGCGGGUGGACUUGGGGGAGAGGAAAACCAGGAAGAAAAAGAGAGAAGAGAAGAGUGGGUUUUGGGCCUCCACCCAAACCGGUCCAAGCCUAAUAUACCCAACUCCACUAAAAAUAAUUACACCCCAAAAUAAUACCCUAAUAAAAAUUACCUUUUACUAGCUAAAAUUUACCAUUUUUACCGUCGUCAUAAUUUUCUCCUACGAAUAACUCUCCGAAUUAAUCGUCCCCCGAAACCCCUCUAGGGACCAAUUAAACUAUAACUUACGGAGACGGUAAAAUUCUUAUUAUAAUCAAGCUAGUAAAUAUAAAAAUUUAAAGGUCGGGAUGUGACAUUAUAAGCAAGAACCCUAGAGCUCUCCUGGGGAGCAUUUAAGCUACAGAAUGGUGCCCAGAUGAAAUUUACUUUCAUAUUGGUUGUUCACUGAUUGAAACGCGAAGCUUAAUGAUUGUUUCUGUUGGUGUUUUGAUUAUGCAAUAUCUGAGUUAUGCUUCUUGCUGUUGUUAUGCUAUGGAACUUGUGAAUUUUGGCUUGAAAAUUGUUAUGGCUGCUCUCCCAAGCUCAUAAUAUUUCUGUUAAAACUAAACGACACAAGAUGGAUUGAUAAAAUUUUCUAGCAGUUGAUCGCUGUGCUAUGAAGAUAUAAGGUACAUCAAUAUGACAGUUUUUCAAGAUCAUAUUAAUAUUUUGAGAUAUACAUAUUGCACAUAGCAACAUAUUUUUGAGAUAUUAAGAUAAUUAUACAGAUUGAGAAAUUGGCAUUUGUUUUUGCUAUUUAAAGUUGUGUUUGCAUCUUCCACAGAAGCUUAUAAACAAUCACCACUUUAAUCUAGCAAAAGGCACUUAAUAAUGCAGUACAGGUCAUGUAAAGCAUAGUUGAUUUACUUCUCCUUGCUAUACAUGUGUUGAUUAAAUUGAUGUAAUAAUUGAUCUUUGCUGCAAUGGUUAUGAAAAAAAAAAAAAGGAAUAACAUGUGCUUUGCCAAGCAAGUAGACUUGUUAUUAAAGUUGUAUGCAAGAUAAAAGGAAAAAGAGGAAAGGAAAGUUAGUAUACCACUAAGUACGAUCCAAUAAAGUAAUGUUUGAUAACCUUUUAACUGAGCAAGAUCUUGUUUCAAUAACCUGUUUUAUUACUGUUUUACUUUCCUGGUAUUUGAUUGGCUUUGGAGUUACAACGAAAGUUUAUGGGUGAGGCAGUACAUGCUGGUAAGUAUUGUGUUACAGAACUUCUGAUUGUUUGAUAUGAGAGUAAAUAUAAAUUUGCAUACUUGGAUUAACAUUGUUGGAUGUUAUGCAAUGUAGAUCACUGAUGUCUCCAUGUGAGUUGUUUGCAGGAACCAUUGGUUUCUUGCAGGUUGGAAGACAAAUGAACAAGGAAAGUAAAGCUCUCUUGGUAAUCUAGUUACCACUUUGUGCUGGUGAUUUUGGGGAUUACUACACCUUACCAUGUGGCGUAGGGAUAAAGUAAGUAGGGAUUGUGUCUCCCUUGGGUGAAAGACCCUAAACCUGAUUGGGGCUCGUGGUGUACGAGCGGAUAAUUAAGUAGGGAUUGUGCCUCCCUAGGGUGAAAGACCCAAAACCCAAUCGGGGUGCCGCGGUGUGAGGCGGAUUACCGCCCAGUGCGGGGUUUUACGGCGGAAUGCCGGGUUUUACGGCCUAGUGCUGGGUUUACGGCUGCACGCCGGGUUUUACUGCCAAGUGCGGGGUUACCACCGGGUGUGGGGUUUUACGGCCUUGUGCCGGUGAUGUUUUGAUGGCUUUUCAGUGUGCCGUGGUUACUGCUUUUUACAGGGUGCUCUCAAUUGUUUUCAAGAGGUAUUGGGCCUAACCAGGAAUAUGAGGAAUGGAAAGAAAAGAUGAAAUUGCCAAGAGAUGAACUGAACCUUAUUAAUGGCAAUGAUCUGAUGAAUGGUAAGAUAAUGUAUGGCCUGGUCUGAAAUUGCACAAUAUGGUAUUGAGCUUGUUUGAGUCAGAAUAAUUUUAGUUUGGGACGGUACUUGAUAAGUACAUUUAUUUUAGAAAAGCUUCAUUACAAACUGACCCAAGCAUAUAAGGUUUUGCUAUGACCACAUGAUUGAUAAAAUAUAAGCUUGGGAAAGGUUAUCUUUUAUACCUUCUGAACUGUAGGUACAUAAAGGUUGAAUGUAAAUGGUAUUAUACAAGAUCUAGCAAGUAUGAUUUUCAUGGGACAACUCAAUAUGCUAGAGUUGCAAAUGAACUUUGUUCCUUUAAAAUUGAUAGCACUGUGAUUAUUACCUAUGUUCCAAUAUCUGAUAUUAUGGAAAACAAUGUAAUGCAUUUGCGCUUUACAAUUAUGUCAGGUAAUCAUGGC
rnacentral:lncRNA from 1 species